UACGGAGGGUGCAAGCGUUAUCCGGAUUCACUGGGUUUAAAGGGUGCGUAGGAGGGCAGGUAAGUCAGUGGUGAAAUCUCCGGGCUUAACCCGGAAACUGCCGUUGAUACUAUUUGUCUUGAAUACCGUGGAGGUGAGCGGAAUAUGUCAUGUAGCGGUGAAAUGCUUAGAUAUGACAUAGAACACCAAUUGCGAAGGCAGCUCACUACACGGUCAUUGACUCUGAGGCACGAAAGCGUGGGGAGCAAACA
rnacentral:rRNA from 1 species